GAAGAUGAAACGUGGUGUCCGGAUUUUGAGACCGAGUCGGUGUCAUCUUUAGAAGAAUAUGACACCAAAGAAGUAGACUCAGACUCUGAUGACAGUGAUGAUGACUACAGUCCACGUAUCUGUGUUCGGGGUGCUUCAAAGACAGCCGUUAACUUAGAAGAUAUUCCAGCAAUCAGCAUGGAGGACACGGUGCACGAUGUCUUACAUUCCCACAAUCCAUCGACCACUGAGAUGCCUCCAACCAAAGACUCUCUUAAGGUCUAGGUUGUGGAGGAUGCAAUUGGCCAUUCGGCAUCCAUAGUGUACCAUGAUUGUCUGAAGCAGUUGGCCAAUUACCUUGUUUUACCAGUCACAAAGUGUAAUGCUCACGAUAUUAACACAAAGUUACUUGCUUGUCAACCUUCUGAAAUUAGUGUGACAUCCAGGGGCACAGCUGCUAUUAUUGAAUGGAUAUGUUCUUCAGGCCAUACUGUUUGGAAAUGGUCUUCACAGCCAACUUUCACACAUGGC